UCUGAUAAACAGAGAGCGAGAGCCCAUAGUUUCCGAUCAAAAAAAAAAAAAAAACACCCGCUUCCCAGUUCCUUUCAAAAACACUUUGUUUCCAGUUACGCUAAAACGAUCUUUUUGCUUUUUGAUUUUUCCAGAAAAAGAAGCAGAAGAAGAAGGAAGAUGAAAAACAAAAUCCAAAACUUAGAUGAGAAAGAAGUAAGCGAUCAAAGGUGCCAUCUCCGAUUCUCUCACACAAUGGCCACCGAUUCAUCAAACCAACUCAAUCUCAACCCUACUACUACUACAGAAGAAAACCCUAAACAAACCCUAGACGACGACACUACUACUGCUGUCAUGCCCAUCAGAUCGCCUCGAAGAAGAAGAAAAGGAAGAACCAACCGAUGAGGCUUCCGAUCAGCCUUCUGUAACCACCGUCGAUUCCGAUGCGAAGUACGGCGAGGAUUCAAAGAGCACUAUAGUCGCUGCCUAUAGCAGGGGAUGUUGUUGAUGUGGAUCCGGCUUCCAAUCAUUUCACUCCGCACUCCAAGUACAAAUUUAGAAAAGUUACUGGAUUCUCUAAUAGGAGAAUUACCGUUGGUUUCUCUACAAUAAAAUGAAAGGUGAAAGCUGAUUGGUUGUGUUAUGUGGAAUCUACAACUGUAUAGGAACCUUGCUCUUUUAUAGUUUUAGAGUUAAGAUAAGGACAGGUUCCAUGUGCUUUUCCAUCUUGCAAGUUCCUAGAUGUAGAAUUCCCAUCUUAGCUACUUUUUGGAGGGAAAGCUUCCACAGUUUGAGUAGGACUGACAAAAACAGUUUAGCUUUAGGCUACUUGGUUCUAAUAUCUAUGGGCUUGAGAGAGGUUACAAUAGAAAAUGGACUCGAAGUCCUAUAUUUACAAAAAGUGAUGCAUUUAGGGUAAAUAAGACAGAGAUUAGUCAAUUCCACAAUAAUGAAUAUAGUGAAUCAUAAGAUUCACUUCCUAUAGAUUAUUGAAAUAAAACAAAAAAUAUAUGUGACUACCUUCAAAAGAAUAAUCUACGGUAUGAUUGUUUUUAUUGUGUAUGUCUUGGUGUUUUGGAUUUGAGUACUUAUAGAUGAUUUACUUUUAUUUAUUUGUUUUAUGAAUAGAUGAUUACAUAAUAAUGGGUGAAAAGUUUCAUGAAUUCCAUAACUUGGGAGUGUGUAUAAUCUAAUAUAUCUAUUUUGUUUAUCACUACGAGGUUUGUUGUUAACAAAUUUUCUCUGUAUCAUUGCAGCUUUUUCGGGAUUGUGAUUUUUUUUUUUUUAUUAUUAUUAUUUUUUUUGCAAUUGAAAUUUAGGGUCAAGAUUAAGAUUCAAUGUUGUUUUUAUGGUUUAUGACUUAUGAAUUGGUUUGGUUUUAGAAUUUGAGAUUCCCAUCUACUAUUGAUUAUGCAUUUUAUUUGUUGUAGGUGGAAUUCUGUUUUGUUUAUAUAUUGUGGCUUGAUUAUGCACUACAACUUUUUUUUCUUUUGCAAUGUCCCUUUUAAGGGUUAUCUAUUGGUUUGGUUUUAGAAUUUGAUAUUCCAAUGUACUAUUGAUUAUGCAUUAUUAUUUGACUAAUAUUUUUCUGACUUUCUGUUUCACAAACCAGUAGCCAUUUUUUUCUUUUAAACUUUUUGGUUGUAAAA